rnacentral:tRNA from 1 species
AAUUAUAUAAUAUAACACAAUUAUAGUUAAUUUCCAAUUAAAAAAUUUAAAUAAAAUUUUAAUAUAAUUA